UGUUGUGUUACUGUAUUUCAUAUAGUUUUACUCUCUUGCAUUCUCCUUCAAAAGGAUAAAAAAAAUUUGUAAGAUAGCAAGGACAAAAACAGAGGAGAAGGCGACGGACAUCAUGAACUUUCCUCCCUCAUUACGAGAUUUUGGGUAAUGACAAUGAAAAAGCUGGCAAUAACCCGUGAUCUUGCUCCUUAAAUUGCUACUACCAACAUACGAUUUCUUGAUAUCAACAACCGAUUUUGACUUGUGAAUUCAUUUUCAAAGAAAAUAUACAUGUAUACAUUUUACAAAAUAGACAAAUCUGUCUAUGCAAGAAAUAACUUUUAUCAAAAUGGGAAAGAUUAAGAUCUUAGAUGAAACAAUUCAAUGAAGUUUAUAUUAUAAGAACUUAUAUGUUGUUUUAAAGUUAACAUGAAAUUGCUGAUGAGCAACAAGAUUGAAAAAUAUCAAUUUCCUCUUAUAUCACUCGAUUACGGCAAUUUUUUUUUUGGGUCAAAAACUAGUAUAUUUAUUUAAUUAUAAGAAGUUGGAGGAUACAUUCCAUGGGUUUCAGAACACAGUAAAUCCCAAAAGACCAUGAGGAGGAUAAAGAACCCAAUUACUCGGUAAGCUAUUUCUCCUUUGGGCUUUAGCGAUCCAAUCAACCACCCUAUUGGCUUCUCCACUGAUAUGGGCCAAAUUUAGCGUCAAGUGGGGCUUGCGCAGCUGUUGGGCCUCGCUGGUAAGCAGAUGGAGCUCCCAACUGAUCUGUCCUUGAUCUGCGAUUCGACUUAUCAGAUCCAAGUGAUCCGUUUCAAUCUCCAGCUCUUCUCCCGAUCGAACGAGAAAGUACUUUAGGCUUUGUACCAAGGCUGUCGCUUCUGUCAUUGCCGUCGAUGAAGCUUUGAUCGAUCGACCGAACCCGUCCACCAGACGCCCAUUGUGGUCUCUACAGAUAGCAGCAAUAGCUCCUUCGCUCGUUCCUUCCAGAUAAGCACCGUCUAUGUUGAUUUUUAGUUUUCCUCUCUCCGGUGGUCGACACUGCUGGGAAGGAAUUGCUGAUAAAGCUUCUUCUUGUUUCUUCCCAGGAAGCCAUCUUGUGCAAUUUCGAAGUAACGAGUGAGCAUUCUCCACCGUACGCUCGGGAUCUGGUUUCAGUGACCGAAAAAUGCCGUUGUUUCUGGCUUUCCAAAUCUGCCAGAGGGCGUUCGCCAACAACUCGAGAGGAAUGCAGGGAUGUUUGAAUUUGGCAAGCCGUUCAUCAAAUCUUGAUAGUCCAUGAGAGGAUAUGUGUAUUUGCAGGGAAGGAUGAUCCCAUACCUUCUUCGUCGAGGGGCACAGGAGGAGGAUAUGCUCCACAGUCUCUGGGCUUUGCUUGCAGAUGCUACAAAUUGGAUCAGAUCUUCAUCCAUAGGGAUCGAGGAGUUUGAUAGGAUGAUGAGGCUAGUGUUGGAUUGAAUAUCGCGGAUUCCUCUCUGAUUUUGUUGUAAGCACUCUUCACCGUAUAAUUCCCGGUUUUGGAAUUAGUCCACACCAUUCUAUCUUUUUUGUCCUACGAGCUCAAUGGGACUACAGAGAUAUCGGCCAUAAUGUCAGGGUCGAAGAGGUCAUAUAGCUGUUGUUCCUUCCAUUUUACUGCUCUCUUGUUGAUCAAAUCAGCCACCAUUCUAGGAUCAUUUUUUAUUUGCCGGUCCCCCGAUCAAUCCCCUUUUUAACCGCCUAUCCUCCCUGAUUCUGAUACUCUCUCCAUUCCCUACCACCCAUUGGAUCGAAGGACUAAUGGUUUCUCUACCCAUUAAGAUGCUUUGCUAGCCCCACGACGGUCUACUCCCUUUGCUUGCAUGCCAAAAGUCUCCUUCAAGAAAAUAUAAUCCUUUAAGAACCUUGCUCCAAAGAGAGGAAGGAUUUUGAAAUAUCCUCCAUGCCUGUUUUCCCAACAUAGCCUUGUUAAAAGAAAUCAAAUCCCGAAAACCAAGGCCUCCAUUAUCUUUUCUGAAUUUCAGAAUUUCCCAUCUCUUCCAAUGCAUACCAGCCUGGUCGCUGCCAUUUUCCCACCAAAAGGCUGCCACUUUCUUCUCAAUCGCUUUACAAAUGGAUACUGGUAUCUUGAAGAUCGACAUAGCAUAUUGAGGAAUGGCUUGCACCACUGCUUUAAUUAAAAUCUCCUUUCCCGCUUUGGAAAUCAACUUUUCCUUCCAUCCUUCAAGCUUCAUAAUAACCCUUGCAGUGAUCCAAGCAAACAUUUGCUUUUUCGUUUCUCCCCAAUCAGAUGGGAUGCCCAAAUAUUUGCUGAUUUUCUCAAUUUCUGGAACUCGCAAUUCGUAUGACAUAUUCCUUUUUAAACUCCAUGGACACUCCCUGCUGAAAAAUACCCCUGAUUUGUUUCUAUUAAUUGCUUGGCCUGAAGCAUAGCAAUAUUGAUUCAAGAUAGCUGAAAUGUUUUGGCAUUCUCUAAUGCUUCCUUCUAAGAAGAAAAUCGAAUCAUCCGCAAACAAAAGGUGGGAUAAAGUGGGGCAGGAUCUAUUCAUCUGGAUCCCUUGAAUACUCCCAUUCUCCAAAGCACGUUUCAGCAUGAACGAUAGACCAUUCGCUACUAGAAUAAACAAGUAUGGGAUAGUGGAUCGCCUUGGCGAAUGCCUCGCGAAGGUUGGAAAUAAGGCUGGGGCUCUCCAUUGAUUUUGACACUAAAAGUAACUGAUGAAACACAUUGCAUAAUCCAAUUCACCCAUUUUGAGCAGAAUCCCAUUUUCAACAUACUA